GAAACAGAAGAAAUGAGAGACUGUUGGCAUCUCCAUGACAGGGAUGGAAACAGCAUUUUGGACUGUCGCACAGCACAACGCAGUUAAGGCUACCCACUUCAGAGGAUCUGACAUUUGUAC